rnacentral:lncRNA from 11 species
UGAGGAGAAGAGCUUAACCCUAAACCGAAAGCGCCUUAGCUGCACAGAGGCACUCCCCUUCUUUUGUGUGUUUAGAAAUAUAUUACUGUAGCUGUGGCCCCUUCCACAACUUGUGUUCAAGAUACUGAAAUGUAGAUUUUAUGGUUCUAAAGCAUAUUGCGUUGGUACUAAAAUAAGCCAUCAAUGCCAGUCC